rnacentral:tRNA from 1 species
UCCUCGGUGGCUCAGAUGGAUAGAGCGUCUGCCAUGUAAGCAGGAGCUCCCGGGUUCGAGUCCCGGUCGGGGCA